UUCCGGUUGAUCCUGCCGGACCUGACUGCUAUCGGAUUGAUACUAAGCCAUGCGAGUCAUUGUAGUAGUACAAGGCAGACGGCUCAGUAACGCGUAGUCAACCUAACCUAUGGACGGGAAUAACCUCGGGAAACUGAGUAUAAUGCCCGAUAGAACAUUAUGCCUGGAAUGGUUUAUGUUCCAAAUGAUUUAUCGCCGUAGGAUGGGACUGCGGCCUAUCAGUUUGUUGGUGAGGUAAUGGCCCACCAAGACUAUUACAGGUACGGGCUCUGAGAGGAGUAGCCCGGAGAUGGGUACUGAGACACGGACCCAGGCCCUAUGGGGCGCAGCAGGCGAGAAAACUUUGCAAUGUGCGAAAGCACGACAAGGUUAAUCCGAGUGGUUUCUGCUAAAGGAACCUUUUGUCGGUCCUAGAAACACCGAUGAAUAAGGGGUGGGCAAGUUCUGGUGUCAGCCGCCGCGGUAAAACCAGCACCUCAAGUGGUCAGGAUGAUUAUUGGGCCUAAAGCAUCCGUAGCCGGCUUUGUUAGUUUUCGGUUAAAUCUGUACGCUUAACGUACAGGCUGCCGGGAAUACUGCAGAGCUAGGGAGUGGGAGAGGUAGACGGUACUCGGUAGGAAGGGGUAAAAUCCUUUGAUCUAUUGAUGACCACCUGUGGCGAAGGCGGUCUACCAGAACACGUCCGACGGUGAGGGAUGAAAGCUGGGGGAGCAAACCGGAUUAGAUACCCGGGUAGUCCCAGCUGUAAACUAUGCAAACUCAGUGAUGCAUUGGCUUGUGGCCAAUGCAGUGCUGCAGGGAAGCCGUUAAGUUUGCCGCCUGGGAAGUACGUACGCAAGUAUGAAACUUAAAGGAAUUGGCGGGGGAGCACCACAAGGGGUGAAGCCUGCGGUUC
rnacentral:rRNA from 1 species